rnacentral:rRNA from 1 species
AGUGAACGCUGGCGGUAGGCCUAACACAUGCAAGUCGAACGGCAGCACAGUAAGAGCUUGCUCUUACGGGUGGCGAGUGGCGGACGGGUGAGGAAUACAUCGGAAUCUACUUUUUCGUGGGGGAUAACGUAGGGAAACUUACGCUAAUACCGCAUACGACCUACGGGUGAAAGCAGUGGAUCUUCGGACCUUGCGCGAUUGAAUGAGCCGAUGUCGGAUUAGCUAGUUGGCGGGGUAAAGGCACACCAAGGCGACGAUCCGUAGCUGGUCUGAGAGGAUGACCAGCCACACUGGAACUGAGACACGGUCCAGACUCCUACGGGAGGCAGCAGUGGGAAAUUUUGCGCAAUGGGCGAAAGCCUGACCGAGCAAUGCCGCGUGGGUGAAGAAGGUCUUCGGAUCGUAAAACUCUUUUAUUGGGAAAGAAAAAAAGUGUAAAUAACCCUGCAUGUCUUGACGGUACCAAAAAAGAAAGCCACGGCUAACUUCGUG